rnacentral:rRNA from 1 species
GAGUUUGAUCCUGGCUCAGGACGAACGCUGGCGGCGUGCCUAACACAUGCAAGUCGAACGGAGAUAAACGCUGAUGAUUUAGCUUGCUAGAGAAUCUUGUUUAUCUUAGUGGCGGACGGGUGAGUAACGCGUGAGCAAACCUGCCUUUCAGAGGGGGAUAACGUCUUGAAAAGGACGCUAAUACCGCAUGACAUUGCGAGAUCACAUGGUUUUGCAAUCAAAGGAGCAAUCCGCUGAAAGAUGGGCUCGCGUCCGAUUAGGUAGUUGGUGAGAUAACAGCCCACCAAGCCGACGAUCGGUAGCCGGACUGAGAGGUUGAUCGGCCACAUUGGGACUGAGACACGGCCCAGACUCCACGGGAGCAGCAGUGA